ensembl:lncRNA
GGACACUUCACACCAAGGGCUAAAAUGAAUUAUCUUUGUGUGUCUAUGCUCUGUACAGUCUCUGCUUCUCAUUUUCAUUUUUUCCUGUGAGUCGGGAGGCAUGCUCGUGCAUAUUUUUCACAGAUAUUUUUAUUUUUAUUCUUCUUGCUUAGAGAGAAAAAAAAUUUAAAUGCAAGGAAAUUGUGCAAAGCAAAAGAACUUUUGUGUACCAUGUAAAGACACAUAACCAUUUUAAAAAGCUGCGGGAGAAGCGUUGACCAUAAUGAUGUCAUAUUUUGUACAUUUUUUUGGUUUUCUGGCUGUGAGAUGGACCUUCUGGCCACGCUGGCUGGAUAUACCCUUUCUGGGGUUUCAAGAGAGCCCUUGUUUAAGGUUCCACUCUCGGGUUGUAUUUCGAUAAAGACAGACAUGAUUGAUUACUGCGUGAAGCUUCCUGCCAGCCAGUUUUAGUGUUUUAAUACAUGUGCUCACGUGUUAAUGGUUUAUGUAGAAGUUCCCCCUCAAUGACACUAUGAACGCUAUCAUCAUGAGCUUUCUUUCUUUCUCUUCUACUUAAACAUGUAUUUAUUUUUUUAAUCUCUGUGAGUUUUAAUGUAUAAUCCUGGAUUUUCAGUAUUAAAAACUUUCUAGUGGAAUUAAAAAAAAAAAGAAUAGAAGAAGAAAAACCCUUUGUAUACACAAGAACAAAAAAGAGCUGAUGCAAUCAUAGAGAAAAGAAGAAACGCAUGACGGUGUCAGAAGCCAGUGUUGGUGAUGUCAUAGUGCUGACUUAUGAUGUCACGGCGUGUAUGUGCGUACAUGUACAUGCGUCUGUUUUAGUUUGUGUGCCCGUGCGUGUAACUUUCUGUGUCUUCUUAUUCUUCUUAGGAAUGCUGAACCUCAUUAUUAUUUAUUUUUCUUCUUUUUGUUUGGACCAAACUCGGAGUACGUCUUCAGCACUCGAGUCACUGCGUGUUCAUAUCAAGCUGUAAUGACAUUUUGAAAGCCUGUCGUUCUUUUAAAAAUUCAUUUUUUUAAAGGGACAUCAUUCAGUUAGCUUUUCUUGUCGAGCUAUGUUCAUCAAAGUGAGGACUUUUCAGACAUUUGAAAAUGUAACUUACUGAAGGCUUAUAUUGUGUCAGGUUUUGGUGUUUUAAUAGAAGCUGAGUGCUUUAAUUUAUUGGUGUUUAAGUUUGUGUCACUGAAAUUUGAGUUUAAAGGUACUUUUUGUAAACUUUGAUGUUUAAAAAUUCUUUAAAAUGUUCCAAAAUAAACAAAACUAUGAAAAAGAAAUGUGAAGAAACAACCACUGUGACUUUAUAUAUAAAACAUGCACUGUUUGGGUGCAUCAAGUGAAGCUGGAAUGGGGUGCAAAUAGUCUUACCUUUAUUUGUCAAAAACAGCACAUUUUUAUUUAUGACCAACCAACAGUUCGACUGCCUUGUCUUGAUCAACAAAUAGGUCCAAAAUUAUCAGACGUAACCACCGUGACGUCGCCCACUAGAUGAACAUUUUCAGUAUCUGACCUGACUGAAAAUCUCAAUCGAAUUCUCCCAAGGGUAAUUACAAAAAGUACCUUUAAUAUAUGUCCACAAAAGCUGUUUGUCUUUUAAAAGAAAUGUUUUCAUCUGAGAAAAUUUUAAAGGCACAGAAGGUAUAAAAAGCAGCUUUUUUUAGGUUGCAAUACGGCCGAAAGAGGAGAACGUUAAUUGCAUUUAAAGGUUGUUUUUCUGUGGAGAGCAGUUGUUGCCGAUGUGGAGCAGAAUGUAAAGUGACCUGAUUUGGCUGAUUUUAGAACCAUAAAAGAGCACGAGGCAUAAAAAUAAGAAGGGAGGGUGGAUGUAAAUGACGUGGGAAUUCAGUUAUAUUUUUAAUGUCUCGCUCAUUUUUCCUCAUACCUUCAAAAGUCUGAUGCAGAUGUUAUAAUCCAUGUUCAGUUAAUUGGUCCUCUGAUCAAACUGUGUGUGUGUGUGUGUGUGUGUGUGUGUGUGUGUGUGUGUGUGUGUGUGUGUGUGUGUGUGUGUGUGUGUGUGUGUGUGUUUUAACCACUGGGGGGGUGUUGGCAGGCUUGGGCAUAUUUGUAUUCUCGAAGCUACUCUGCAUACCUCAAAUUGUAUAAUACAUUUAUUUAUUACAUCCCCUUACAUGUCUAUUUCCAAGAAUAUCCAGACAAAGGUCUCACAGAUGUGCAACCCUUUUGUUAUUGGUGAUCGAUUCUUGCGUUUGUAGAAAUCAUACUGUUUAAUUGAUAAUAACAAUAAAAUUAAAUACCACUAAACUUUGUUUUUCUGUGUGGUGUGAUUAAAUAUUACUUUUUUAAUAUUUAGGUCACAUUUUUAUGUUUAGAACUUUUUAUUAAUAUAUUUAAUGUUGAUCCUGACUCCCUCUGCUUUUUACAAUUUUUUUUUUUAGUAGAUUUCAUUUUUUCCCCUUUUUUUUCUCCCAGAGUCACAGGCCCUCUGAAUAAAUGAAGUUGGAAUGAAAAUUUCCCCUUUUUUUCCAGAAUUAUUGACCCUUCAUAAAUUCCUAAGUAUGGAGACAUCGACAUGAG